AUCCAGUUGACGAGUCUCAGAUAGGACGAAACGUGCGUCCUGGAU
rnacentral:hammerhead_ribozyme from 1 species